rnacentral:rRNA from 1 species
GAUGAACGCUGGCGGCGUGCCUAAUACAUGCAAGUCGAGCGAAUGGAUUGAAAGCUUGCUCUCAAGAAGUUAGCGGCGGACGGGUGAGUAACACGUGGGUAACCUGCCCAUAAGACUGGGAUAACUCCGGGAAACCGGGGCUAAUACCGGAUAACAUUUUGAACCGCAUGGUUCGAAAUUGAAAGGCGGCUUCGGCUGUCACUUAUGGAUGGACCCGCGUCGCAUUAGCUAGUUGGUGAGGUAACGGCUCACCAAGGCAACGAUGCGUAGCCGACCUGAGAGGGUGAUCGGCCACACUGGGACUGAGACACGGCCCAGACUCCUACGGGAGGCAGCAGUAGGGAAUCUUCCGCAAUGGACGAAAGUCUGACGGAGCAACGCCGCGUGAGUGAUGAAGGCUUUCGGGUCGUAAAACUCUGUUGUUAGGGAAGGACAAGUGCUAGUUGAAUAAGCUGGCACCUUGACGGUACCUAACCAGAAAGCCACGGCUUUCUACGUGC